UAUAUGCCCAAAUGGGGCGAUUACUGGAAAAAUUAUUUUCAUACCCUUUCCAUUCCGAUGGAGGUUUCAGCCUGCUUGUAGAAGGCUGGAGUCAUAUUCAUACAUGGUUCCGUUCCUUUUUCCUUUCCAUUUUCUUGCCACACCAAGUUGUUAUUCCCCUGUUUUUGCUCUGUCAUUCCACCUGCCAGAAAAAGAAAAACUUCUUUUAUCUUUUCCCUUUAUCUUGAUUUCUUGUCUGUGGUGUGGAAUUGGUUUUAAGUUGUGAUAGAAUUCAACCUCAGACCUCCUCUCAUAUGUGGAAGCUAAAAACUGAGGUUGAAUUCCUCGGCUGUUUAAAUCUUUAUUGUGUCUAUUGCCCUCUCUCUGUCUCUCUCUCCAUCUACAAUUUCGGAUUGAUAAAAUUCAAGGAGUUGAUAAAUAACUAUGUAUUGUACUACUAAGUGGGGUGAACCUAGAAUAUAUCAAAUGACUUUUGCGCCAAAUUUAAUACAAGUUCUGGCUUCAGGGUUGACAAGGAAAGAGGUGUGCCAUAAUACUCAGCUUCAGCACUUGCUUUCUGUUGGGUAUGAAUAAUUGUUGCAGGAUUAGACACAGGUUGGGAGGUGAUGGGACACCCACUUGCACUUCUUCUGUGUUGUUUGGGGUCGAAGGCCUUCACCUUCAAUAUGCCAUUAUUUAAACCGCAUAGAAGAAGCUUGGAGAGCCUGAUCCAGAACCCAAAUUCAUGUGGAUAAAUAUUAAAUUCCUUCAGUUUUAAGAGUCGUUGCCUGAUCCAAUGUAAACGUCUACAAAAUUCGAGGAUUUAUUAAU